rnacentral:rRNA from 1 species
GGGGAAUAUUCCGCAAUGGACGAAAGUCUGACGGAGCAACGCCGCGUGAGUGAUGAAGGUUUUCGGACUGUAAAGCUCUGUUGUUUAGGACGAAAGUGCCUGUUGCGAACAGUUACAGGUAUUGACGGUACUGAACGAGGAAGCCACGGCUAACUACGUGCCAGCAGCCGCGGUAAUACGUAGGUGGCAAGCGUUGUCCGGAAUUAUUGGGCGUAAAGAGCAUGUAGGCGGGAAUCUAAGUCUGUUGUGAAAAUGCGGGGCUCAACCCCGUAUGGCGAUGGAAACUGGAUUUCUUGAGUGCAGGAGAGGAAAGGGGAAUUCCCAGUGUAGCGGUGAAAUGCGUAGAUAUUGGGAGGAACACCAGUGGCGAAGGCGCCUUUCUGGACUGUGUCUGACGCUGAGAUGCGAAAGCCAGGGUAGCGAACG